ensembl:lncRNA
GUCGUUUUCUAUGGCAUGCCUUGUUUCCCUGGGGAGUGGUUUGGCGUCACACCUCUGUGUCAUCAAGCUUCAGUGGGGGCUGAUACACGGAGCUGGUGAGUUGUGUUUGUGUCUCUCUCCCUUCGAUUUUUUUUUAAAACUUUUGUAUGGUGCAUUACCCUGCUUCGCAACGUGCUUUUGGGCACGUGGGAGAAAUUCCCUGGUGUGUAGACGAUUUUCCGUCAUUUAAUUGUUGGAAGGGCCGACUUUUAGAAUUCGCAAAACAAAAGUACUUUCUUCAAGUAUAAUUACUUACAAUUUCAAACACAAAAAAUCAAAAAGUGAGUUGCCAAAUCAGCUGAUGAUCGAGACGGAGGCUGGCACAAAUUAUGUCAACGAGCAACACUGUUCCUGUAAAGCUGGCUCCACAGGGUUCUGCGCCCACAUCAUUGGGCUUAUCCAUACCCUGGACCCAGGCCUACAACUACAGACAGAAAAAGGAGACCCAUCUUCUGCCAAUACAACAACAACAACAGCUCCAACUUAUGAACAGUUGGCAAAAAAUCCUCCCAAUCAAACUCUACUGGUGAUGACUUCCCAGCAUUACCUUUCCCACCACUGCCAGGCACUUUCUAUACUGUCCUUUCUAAGGUGCAGAUGGAAACACUAUGAUGGCCUCCAAGUCUGAGGCAGAGGCGCUUGAGAAAGAGACCAGACAGCAAAGUAGCAACAACAUGGCAUCAUGUCCGCUCUACUCGCCUUACUUCAACUUCAUUCAAGAGUAUAUUCUCGAGGAGGAUAACUGGCAGGCGAGGGAGACGAUGAGGAGGAGGAGGAAAGGCCUAAUUUGCAGGCAGAUCAGGCACCUCCAU